rnacentral:rRNA from 1 species
UACAGAGGGUGCAAGCGUUGUUCGGAAUUACUGGGCGUAAAGCGCGCGCAGGCGGUCGCGUAAGUCUGCUGUGAAAUCUCCCUGGCUCAACCGGGAGGGGGCGGCGGAGACUGCGGGACUGGAGGGACCUAGAGGCCGGUGGAAUUCCCGGUGUAGUGGUGAAAUGCGUAGAGAUCCGGAGGAACACCAGUGGCGAAAGCGGCCACCUGGACUGUACCUGACGCUGAAACGCGAAAGCUAGGGGAGCGAACGGG